rnacentral:lncRNA from 1 species
UGCAGCAUUGAAGGCAGUUGGUGAUCGAGUUGUUUAUGGGGUAGUUGAACCUACUGCUGCACAUGCCGAUUUAAUUGAAAAAUCAUUAGGUCCAAUAACAUCUUUGUCUAGCAAAAAUAAUGUUUCAGUUCACAAAACUCAAACUAGUGUAGAAAAACUCAGUGAAACACCUACAGAAGCACGUGCACAAUUCUAUGCACCUGAACAGAUUCCAUCAGCGUUUCUAUUUCAAUUUUCUGCUGUGCAGCCAGAAAAUAAUUCUAUUCUUAUGGAUGGAAGAUUUAUGGAUCGUGUAGAUGUUAUGGAAUUCGAGUAUGCAGUAUCUAACUUAGCACAAAUACUGGUUGUAAGUACGACCAAUAAUAAAGAAAACGUGGCAACAUUGAAUUGGUUAAGAAUAGUAGUGCUCGACAACAUGCUAAUGUGAACAACUUGGCGGAGGGGUUAACGGUCUGUUAAACACGAAGCUCCAACACUCCUAAUCAACAUUCUUCCAGUCCACAUGUGAAAAAAAUCAUUAAGGAAACUCAGGUUUCCAUGAUGUCGAACGCCACUCCUAUGGCCAAACAACCGUUGGUCACUUUGAAUACAUCGGCACAUGAGAUUCCUUUUCAAUCAUUGGAGUCAUUUGGUGAGUAUUGUAUUGAAUCCGAGCAGCUCCUACUAUCCAUAUGGAAUGAUUAUGAUAUAGUCAAAGAGGAUAUGAGGGAGGAGAGUAAUAUGCAAAUUUGCUGUGGGCUGAUCAAGUUGAGGAUGAAGAGGACGAUGAUGAAGUUGAUUUUGAAUAUGGUAAUGAAAAGGAAAUUGAAUGUGGCAGCCCAUUUUCAGUGGGAUCACCAACGGCACAAGCCCAUGAUAGGGCACUCUUACAUGCAUUGGACAGUCCAACACCACACAAAUUUGCACUUUCAACAGUCGCACAAUGGCUGCAAUCUUCAGGUAAGAACAACAACACAAAUAUUCAAUCUCAAGCCUCAAUUGAUAAACCUAACAUUAAAGAAGGAGUGGUCACCAGGCAACCCCCAAUGCGAGUUGCAAAGCAAAAGGGGGCAACCCCAAUCACAUCCACAAGGCCCAAUCGAUCUAAGAAGAAAUGAUGAAUUUUGAAGACAUUUUGAAGAGAUUGGAAGAAGAAGAAGCCAAAAACCUACAAAUUGAAGAGUGCACAUGCUUGAAAAAAGAGGGGCAACAAUCAAAUAUUUACCGUAUUUUAUUUUACCAUUUUAUAAGUAUAAUCAUAUGUAAUAUCAUGAUAGAGUAUGUUAUAAAUUCUGUGAUGAUCAUACAGUGCUUAGUUCGUUCUUCUUCAUAUUUGUUACAUUCUGGUUAGUAGUUGUGUUCUUUAAUGCCUCAUUAGGAACUAUGAGGUAAGGUUUAGCGUAGUAUGUGCUUGCUCAUGUCCUACGCCUUUGGAAUAUAUCCAUACGGCUAUGAGAUCAUUCACCCUCAUGAGGCUAUGCUAGCAGCCUAUGAGGCUACGUCAAAGGACAUUGGAGGCGCAGAUGGAUGAUUAUAUAGUAAAGUCAUAGUGGCAAGACUACUGCUGCUUUUGUCGCCCUUACUUGUACUCUUCCUUUGUGAUUUUUCUGUUUAAUAUUAAUAUAAAAACUACUAGGAAUCAUGCCUGGUGGUCUAUUUGCUAACAAAAAAAAUAUUGAAAAGGAAGGGCUUACCCUAUUUGUGCUUCAGACUGAAAUCUUCCAUCCUCUCCUAUGUACAAUUCCACCCUUUCUCUUACUUAAUCAAAUUAAAGAAUGCCAUAUACUCUCAUUGCCCUCCUCUUUCUCCUCAACUCCUUGCUAUGAGUGAUCAAUUUUGAAUGAUUGUACUGAAUAUCAACGUGGGGGCCCUUGUGGAUAAAUCAAAAUUUGGGGAUAUAAAUUAGAGAGUAGGAGUAAAGAAAAAGGGUUGGACAGUUGUAUCAAUUUGCUUAAAUUUCAUCCUACUGAGUGUGAAGGACUGGCCUGAGAACGUUUUGUUUGUGCAUGAUAGGUAGUUUUCUAUAAGCCCGUGUGUGGUUGAAUUUGCGACCGCAGAAACAUUUUGCGUAUCGCAAAAUAGUCACAGAGAAAGGCAGAUAAAAGGAUAUAUCUGAAGAACAACAUGCAACCGAUAUGCGGUCGCAUAAGUUGUUAUGCGGCCACUUCUGCAUACCACAUAAUUUGUUUUGCUUCUGAGGGUUGUAUUAUGUGAUAGGUUUUGCGGAUCGCAGAGUUGUUAUGCGAUCGCAUAACUGGUCGCAGAAACAUCUUUGUUUUUAAAUUCCUUAUAAUAUGUUACCCAUGCCUUAUCACUUACUCACUCUUUAUUAAUUGACAGGAAUGGAACCAAAGAAAGUUCGAGCAUCGCGACAACCCACCAAUCAAGGAAAGAGACAUGCUGCUGCUAUAAGCCCACAAUCACAACAAUCCCAAUGCAAGCGGCCUGACUCAUCCAGAACUUUAUCUGCGUAUUCCUCCCAGUAUGAAGAGGAGGAGGCACAACUUGCUCUUAUGCCACCAGUUGACCUCCAUGCCGAAGCAUGCCGAAAGAUGGGUGAGGAUCUCAGGUUUGGGAUCUCCGGCUCUUGGACUUUGUACCUAGAUGGCCUGACAAAGAGAAAGAUCCUCGAAGAAAAGAAGCUAGGCUUGAACGGGUUAAAAUAACACUACCCCCAUGUGCUAGAAAACAUCAAAACAAGAGGAUGGGAGUUCUUCACUCAUGUUCCGGGGGAGUACAAUGAGACACUCAUUAGGGAAUUCUAUGCUUCAUAUGCUGCAUCCAGGAACGCUGAACAGGAGAGAAACCAUAGGUUUUUGGCAUCCGUCUUAGUUUGAGGGGUUGAAAUAUUCUGUGAUGCCUCCUCAAUCACUGAUAUAUAUUAUGAAGCAUGGGAAACAGGCACUUCAGAAUUUAACGCAAGAUUGCAAAUAAGUAAUCCGAGCGUGCUUGGGUAGCCUCUUUCAUAUCCAAGGGAACUCCGUCCUUGAUCGCGCCGCGCCAGAAGAUUCACAUAGGGAUCUUACACAAGAAGGCUAGUAUUGGCUCAGUUUGGUUUGUUCUCAUAUAAUGCCCUCCAGCAAUGAAACUGACCUAAGUAUCGAGAAGGCGAUCCUCAUUGCAUGCAUCAUGUUGGGUAUCAAGGUUAAUGUGGGAGAGCUUAUAUUCCGUGAGUUUAGGAUCCGGGCGAACCAGAAAGAAACCUCGCUUCUUUUUCCAUGCUUAAUCCAUGCUUUGUGUGAAGCUAGGGAAGUUCCUCCUUUACCCAAACAUGACCGUAUAGAAACAGCUGUUCAUGACUCUGACAUUACACGGAUCAAUGAUGCAUUAGAUAAAGUGAUUGAAGGUCCAUUAGAACAUUCAAUCACUCCUCUCCCAGCCUCUGCAACAUCUGCUACCUCAUCAGUGCCCGACACUUCAUCCGCGCCAGCAACAUCCACAUCCACUCCAAGACCAGCCACUGCAACACCACUUGUCUUACUGCCUGCACUUUCAAAGCUUGGGCUACUGGCACAACAUGCAAAUGCCAAAGUGGAUAAAUUGACAAAAGAACUUUCAUCUCUCUUCCGGUAAGAACUGGCCCCGAUCCAAACCUCAGUAAGUGCUCUUCAACAACAACAUCUAUCAUAUGAUAAUCGACUAAAGCGCUUGGAAGUGCGCCUUGAAAGGGUUUGAGAUAGGCAGCGAUGGGGACAUACCUCAACUAAAAAAGAAUGUAUCUGAGCUCAAGUCAGAACUGCAUAAGAUGCAGACACGGGAGUUUGAUUUGACCUCCAUUCUGCCGGUGGAAGGAGAGUAGGGCAUUGGAACCUCCCACAUACCAAGCCAUGAGUUUGAUUUUACAAACAUCAUGUCAGCUGAGGUAGCCCAUGGUACUGCGAUCUCACAAGCUCCGAGCUCCGUUUCACACACCAACGAUCCAGAAGCUGAGGAAUCUGGAGAGUCUGAUGAAGGAACUGAUGAAGAGGAAACUGAUGAGGAGAGGAUACUUGAGGGGGGUGAUAGUAAGAUGGACAAGAGAGGCAAACAAGUUGUUGGUUCUAUAUAUGCACUGGCUAAAGAGGAGGAAGAUGUGAAAAUAACCAUUGCACAGUCCCUUGCAUAUAUAGUCGCCAAAGCUACUACCAUGACCAUACAACAAUCAUUGGGUGAGGCUAGCAGCUCACAGGUCCAAGACCCAGCAACACAACUAUCCAGUCAGAUGUUCCACCUACUGCAUCUAUAGUGUCAGCCCCAAGGCCGCCUCGGAUGUUCCAACCUCCCCAAGUGCCUAGUACGCCCCAGGAAUUCCCAAAAACUUUACUCUUACUUUCUCAAUGCAUUGGGGACAAUACAUGCUCUUUCGUUGAGGGUGGGGUAGUAAAUAUUUCACAACUUGUAUAUAAAAUUUUAAUCUUAAAAUUGUAGAUUUGUAUAUAACAAUGAAUUCUCCUUAGUUUUUCUUCGCUGGGUUCUUUUCCACGGGUGUAAUAGUAGAACCAUGGCCACAAAACAUCUUGGACUUGUUUAGUGAUUUUGUUCUAGCUUCAAGCAUAUGAUAUGUUUUUGUUGAAUAAAGUGCACCCUUCAAAUUUUGUAAAUAAAUGGUUAGUCAGUCUCGUGAAAUCGAGGCUCACUUUUUGACUUUGUGCCUACUUAGAAUCUCAAAUAUCAUGUGAAGAAGCUUUGAGUUGCCUUGUAUUCACUUGAGGGCUAAAAUUAUGCCGAGUCGAAUAGUUCAUGCGUUGUGAGUGAGUUAGAAGUUGUGUAAAUAUUGCACUGCUUAACUUGUAAUCUAUAGAACUUGCCCCGUUGGUUUCUCAAAGCAAUUCUCAGGUUGAUGAUUGGGCGUUGAAAUGAUCUUAGGCUCUCUUUAUGAUUGAUAACUAAUUUUUGACCAAAUAACCUCCUUGGUACAUCUAUUGUCCUAGUUACCCCCCCUGUUGAGCCUUUAACCUUUUAUUUGGCUACUACAUUAUAAACCUUUACCCCUUUGUGAAAUAAGUUCCCUUUGAACCCGUCCUUCCUUGAACGAGUAAGAAUAAGGCUAAAAGCCUAUGUUGGGGGUGUUGGUGUUAAUUGAAAAUUGGUAAAGUUGUACAUUGUGUGUAGAAUAAAAGACCUCAUAGUUGUGUAUAUGAAGAUAAUCAAAAAAAAAAGAAAAAAAAAUGUUGGUGUGGAGUCUUAUGAAAACUAAAGAAAUACGUUGAGGUAGUUCUAUGUCGGUAACUAGAGGUCAAUUAGGGCUAUGCGGUAAAAAGCAAAGUGUAUGUAGAGUUCAAGGAGGGUACAACCACUACAUUCCCAAAUAUUCGUCCAACCCGUCCCGAAGCCUACAUUACAAACCAUGAAAAGUCCUUGGUAAUCUACAACCAAUUAUUCCUAAGAUAACAAUGAUUUAAAAUAAGGGCAAGCAUAUGGACUGAUAUUUGUAGCGUUUAGGCUCCUUUCCGAGUGCAAGAGCGUUUGAUUGUAUCCCCUGUACAUAUUUGUUGAGUUGGGGAUUUUCUUUGAUGUGAGCACGCAUGAAUUGCAAGAAUUAGCAGAAAUUAAGCCUUUUGAGGUAGGAUACAAAUGCAUAUCUAGCUAUGAGUAGCACUCUGUCAUUUUUCUAGAGGCUCAAAAGUUCACUAAAUGAUUAGUCGAACUGUACUUGAUCUUUGUCCUUGAAGAAGGGUGAGAGUUGUGGUUACAUGCUUGUUAGCUAACGGUGAGCAUCAUCCAUAGUCAUUGCUACUUUGCAAUGCAUUUAGUCAGUUCAGUUGAUAUUAUGUUAUAUUUUUGUUUGUUUGUUUGUUUGUCUCUCUUCUAUUGUAGUUGUGUUUAUUUGUUUGUUGCUUGAGGGCAAGCAAAAGUCUAAGUUGGGGGUGUUGAUGUGCCGUAGAAUUGCGGCACUUUUGAUACUAAUUACAUAGACUCUAGCUCGUCUUUUGAAGCAUUUUAAGUUAUUUUGUUAUGUAGUUUUGAUGUUUUGUAGCAAACUAGGCUUGAAGAACCAAGAACAAGGAAAGGGGAACAAAAAAACCAUAGAAUGCCAGAAAUGUUGCAGGUCUGUGACCGCACAACUGAUGUGCGGGCCGCAUACCAACCGCAGAGUGAAGCAUAUUUUCUCAGUUAUGAGAGUGGAUUGUGUGAUCUAUUGUGCGGUCGCAUAAUGCUUAUGCGGACCAAAUAAUGACCAUACAAGUGCAAAGAGAGUUUUUGCGAGAACAAGUCUGCGACAUCAAAUGCGAUCGCGAAAUAAAUAUGCGGACCAUAUAACAGAAAUGCGAUGAACAAUUGGGCAACUUGACAUUCAAUUAUGCAAUGGAGUUGCAGUUAUGCAGGCCGCGAAAGUGUUCUGCGACCUAUUCUGCGAUCGCAGAUGUGAUCCGUAGGGGUAUAUUUGUCAUAUUUUGACCCCGACUUUUAGCCUAUUAUAUAUAGAAUAACUAGGGUUUUUGAGGGACAACUACUUUGAUAGAGAGAGGCUACGCUUAGGACAUUGAAUGCACCAUUAUUUUGGAAGCAUGGGAGAUAAAAUCCAAGACUUUGUCUAUAAUUGUAAGCUUCAUGACUUUAUUUAUUACAUUGCUGUUGUAUUCUAGUAUGAGUAGAUAAGUUUAAAUAUAAAGGUUGUGAAUCCUAUAUGGGUGUAAUGUUAAUGUGUGUUCAUCAUUGAAUGUUUAUAUAAUGGAAAGUUGAUUUCUAUUCAUUUCUCAUGCGUCAUUUGUAGUUGAUGGUUGCAAAUAUUGACUAGUGCCAAUUCAUUCUAUCUUUACUUGGGAAAGUGGGUUAGAAUUUGGUAGAUUUGAAUAGCAAGAACUCAAGGCUCUAAACCCUAUUUAAUAGAAUCUCUUAGGAAUAAGUGGAUUCUAUUUUGCAUAAAUUGGUCGUUCUUAAUUAUCACUUAUUUUAUAUUUGGGAAAAUCAUAAAGAGAAACUACUAUCUAAUUGUUGGAAAAUAUUAGUUAGUAACCUAGAAAUCAUUUGCAUAUCAACGAGCUUCCCAUUUAACAAUAUGAAAUAUGGAUACCGUUAGCAUUGCAUUCCAUUGAUGGAGACACAAUCUUGGUUUCUUAAUCAAUUUUAUCAAAUUAUAUCAAUGAAAUAUCUUGUAUUGAUAAAUCUCAAUUACAACACUCUCUUUUUAAGCUAACGGAGUAGGAUUACGACUUAAGUCAAGUUUUACACUACUCAAGUAACCUUUUCACACCUAUUCCCUGUGAGAUUCAAACCCAACCUAGUUGGGUUACUAUAUUUGACAUCGGUCGCUUUAUACUAUUUAUUUAGGUGUAAUUUGAGCGUAUCUGCAUCUAGUUGGAAAGUACGUGCUUGGGAAGAUUUAAUUGGUUACGUAAUCGUAGCGAUCGUGGUAGGGGUAUGAAAGGGUGUUCAUUUGAGGAUAGUUUACUGUCCUAGAGUCUAUGUGUUUGUAUGGGACUUCAAUUCAGUGAAAGGUACAUAUUUUCAUUCAAGGCACUUAAGGAAAUGGGCCCGACUAUCACGAGGAUGGACAUGCACUAAUUAGGUGAUUUGAGGCAUCUUACGAUAGGAGUUGUACGAGCUAUGAAGGUUGAUAUUGCGGAUCAUCAGAUGAUAUGUCCUAUGGCUUUGCGCCAAGUAGGGGAGUCUACUAUCGACGAUCGGAUUGCAUGGUCAUGUGAUAUAUCAGUCUUGGUCUGAGGUAUAUAUGUGGUAUUGAAUGGUUCCCCGAAAUUUGUAUAUGGUUAAGGACUGAUAUUUGCAUGGGAUAAUGUUGGGACUUGUUGUAUUUUUGUGUCAUUAAUAAUUCUACAUUUUAGUAUCAGAGAGGUUAUUGAAACAACUUCGGAUUCACAAAAAGGUUUCUUCAGAGUGGACAUCUCGGUUGCAACAUUAUAGGGUGCUUCAGAGGAAAUAAAGUGGCUUAUGGGAUUCUAGGCCACGUGGUUCGUGCUAGGAUCUUCUGCAUCGAGAUUUGAUUUUGGGAUCAUUAUGUACCGACAAGAAGAAGUGUUACCCUUAAGAAAGGUCAAGGAGGAUCCGAAGGAAUGGGUCAGUUCGGUGGUGUUGGGCCAGCAUAGCAAGAAAGGUAAUUUGUCCUUUUUGGGUGGUAAUUCUUUAUCGGUAUUUGUGGCAGUACUAUUGGGUUUGACGGUUUGCAUGACUUGAAUGAGUUGGGAAAGUUCAGUCAUAGAUGGCAUGGGCGAUUUCAAAAGUUAAAGGAGUAUUGGAUGGAUAUCACAGAAGAAGAGAUUGCAUUUUUGGAGGCACCUUAUGUUUUGAAUUGCGGAUGUUUGACUAGUGUUACGGUGAUCGCCUGGUUUUAGGCUUCUGAAGUUCAGGUUUUGUUGCAUGGCAUGGCAGAUCUAUGUGGGUGUUUUUCGUAAGAUGAUGGAGUGUGAGUGAAAUACCAUCCAUUUGAGUAGCGGGAUUGAGAUCGGGUAUGGAUACUGGUAUUCAUGAGGUUUUGGGACUGGAUGUCCACGUAGGUAGACUAUUCCUUGAUUGUGGAUUGUGAAGAAAUGUUGAGAAUAGGAUAACUGAUGGCAUACAUUAUGGAUAGGUUUUUAUGAACUUUGGGAAGGUUAUUUAUCUGUUUGGGAAUAACCGGAGUUGGUUUGGGGGUUAUUUGAAAGCCUAAUGAGAAUGUGUAUUCUAUAUCAGAUAAGGUUUUUUUACUCUUACGCAAUUUCUAUCGUGGGUAUAUUAUCGGGCAGAAUGGAUGUUAUUCAUGCCCCAGUCUAUGCUAUGUGCUUCUCUGUUAUGCUUUGAUGGGUUGUGAGGUUAUAUAAUUAUUUUCACGCAUGUUGUAAUCCCAUUCAGGCCUUAUGGUGAUAUGGGUGGGAUGGCCCUCGUGAUGUUUAUUUGUUUAUUGCACCUUAGUUGUUCUUGCUUUUCUCCAUAUUGUAUUAUUCCCAUUCAUCUUUCCACUGUUAUAUUUGUGCUCUCUAGUGUGCUUGAUACUGGGAUACAUGUGAUUAGUGAUCCCAAGCAUUUUGGCUCGAUGGGUGUCCCUAUAUAGAUUGAUAUAUUUUGGAUCGGAUUGCGCGCCGCAACGGAUGCUAUGUGGGAUACUUUCCUUGUGGUUAUUUGAUGUUUUAUUUUCCCUCUGUGGGAUGAGUUAAUGAAAUUGCACUUUUAUUAUUAUAUUUGUUGUACUUGUUAGAUAGUUUUUGUACCUUGCUUUCUUUCUAUUGUUAGAUACUUUCUUUCUGAGUUAUUUCUUGUUUGGUGUAUGGACCAUGUUGUGUGAGAUUCUAUGUGGUUUUGGUGUGACUUAUCAGUGGGCUACUUGUAUGUGUUCAGAUGAGGUUUCUAGACCUGAGAGUUGCACUAUUGUAUUGGGAUGAGGAGUAUUUGAUUGAAUGAUACCCUAUUUCCGCUAAGAAUUGAGCAAUGAGCCUUGUCGAAUGAGAGAACUUCUUGACUAUUGAUUUUGUAGGUGAUUAUGAGUUUUCGCAUGUUUAUUUUAUCACUACCAGCAUCACGGAGGUCUAGAAUGAGGUUUUAUUUUGCAUGAAGUGUAUUACCGGUACCGAGAUUACUAUUUGGCCGAUCUGGUGGUCGGAAGUUGCUACUAUGGAUAGCUGAGGUAUGUUAAAUAUCAGGUGAUUAUACCUUGAGUUGAGGUUGUUACUUGGUCUAAGUUGUCCACGCUUACAUACGGUAUUGAUGCGAGAUUCGAGGCUUAUGAUGAGUUUCAGAAGUUGAGGAUUAGGCUCAAAGGUUUAUAGACUAAGGAUGAGGUGAGAUCUUUAGUUAAAUUGUGUUGUCAGUCUUACAUGGAUUGGGGUGAUGUUCGAUCAUCCCCGGGUGUAUGUAUGGUGAGCUCGUGCAGUGAUUUGAUAGCUUUGGAACGACUCCUGGCACGUUCGAGGACGAAUGUAUGUUUAAGUGGGGGAGGAUGUAACGACCCGACUGGUCGUUUUGAGUAUUUGCAUUCAGUUCGGCGGUUUGAGGUCACAAAUAGCUUCACAUGGUGUAUUAUGACUUACGUGCAACGUCGACUUUGGUUUUUGAGUGGUUCGGAAUUGAUUUUGUAUGAUGACCCUCACUUGAGAAGUUUGAAGUUGAAAGAGUUAACCAAGUUUGACUUUGUAUAUUUGACCCCGAAUCGGAGUUUGGAUGGUCUUGAUAGGUCCGGAUGGUGAUUUUGGACUUGGGAGUAUGCCCGGAGUUGCAUUUGAAUGUUUCUAGAAGGUAUAGGCACCAUUUGGCGGAAGUUGGCAAUUGAAAUAUUUGGAAUUUUUUGUAGUUUGAACAUGGUUUAACUUUAAGGAUAUCGAGUUCGGAUUUUGGUUUUGGGACUUGGAAUAGGUCUGUUUCGUCAUUUGGAACUUGUCUACAAAAUUUGGUGUCGUUUGGAGUUGGUUUGAUGUGGUUUGGACGCUUGGUUGCAAUUCUAGAAGUUCUUAAAGUUCAUUGUGAUUUCAAUGCGUUUUGGUGUCCGAUUCAUGAUUGAUGGUAUUUAGAUGUUUUAAUUGAGAGCGAGUUCAUAUUAUGUUUAUAGACUUGUGUGGAUAUUUGGUUUGGAGCCCCAAUGGCUCAAAUGCGUUUUGAACGUGUUCGAGGGGGGUUAGGGAGGGACCUCCCUUUUGCGAGGAAAUCAUCACUUUUGCGAAGUUGACUGAGGCCUGCAAAGUUUGCAUUUGCAUUGAAGGCCUGGGCUGGGGAAGAGUCCCUUAUGACUUCUAGUGUAGAUUCGUUAUUGCGGUUGGUUUUGUGAUACGCCGUAGUAGGUUGUAGUUAUUUGUGUAAUGCCUAUUUUAUGGGGAUCGGGUUGCAUGCUGCAACAAUAUUGAAAUGAUAUAAAAAUAUAUGAUAUGGAGCGAUAAGGACGAUGACAUGAUAUAGGUGAGAUCGGGUUGCACGCCGCAACAAAUAUUAUUAUUAUUGUUUGGAAUCAGGUUGCACGCCGCAACAGAUUGAUAUAUUGUAAUUGUUGUGACAGUAAAUUUAUCCUGAAUUGUUAUUCUCAUGGUGUGUUCUAUGUUGGAAUGGUUUAUCAGUUGGACGAUUUUAUUUUUUCCCUUAAAUCAUUUAAUUGGUAUUUGAUCAUUUAAUUUCUUGUGUUACUCUAAUGUGCCAUUAUGUGCCUCCAUUAUUACUUGGUAAAUUGAAUGUCAAGGUGAAUUAUAUGGUCAUUAUCUCAUAUUCUGUUGAGUUGUUGGUAACAUAAUGGUUUAAAAUAAAAGAAUUAUUAACAUGUCUUAUUCUAUGUGUCUCUUAAGAUAGAACUCGUUAUAUCACUCAGUUCCUUAAUAGUUUUAAAUGGAUAUCACAUUUGCACUUUAAUUGGGUUCUCAAAUUUUAUUCAUCACCCUAUUGAUGUUUACUUUACUUAAAACAGUUAUCACAUUUUAUUUCUAACAAAUCCUAAAUUUAGCUUGUUAAUUUAACUGAGGUUUUAUUUUGUUUAAAUAUGAUAUUUUUACUUUAUCUUAUUAAUUUCUAAACUAAACCCAUCUGAUACUCUAUUUGCAUGACCUUUCCUUUAUUCUACUUUAUUUGAAUCCUAAAAUAAACAUAUUAUCUCAUUUGACACCUCUUUUUAUUCAAGAUUGUUAUUAUGCUUUAUUGUGUUUUAAUAUAUCUCUCGAUCAUCUUAACUGAUAUUGAUACAUAUGCGAUGUACAUGGUAGCACGAGGACUUUGCCGUGCGAAGGUGAUUGUUAUUGUGAGCACGAGGUGCCAACGUGAAAGAUUUGAAAAUGUGGAUAACGGUUUGUGAUUUCGAGGAGUGGUACAUCAGGGUAAAACUUGUUGCAAGUCCAUGCAUUGAGAACAAUUUAAUUAAUUAAGUUUUUAUCUUUAACUUAUUGAGUUCGUUCAUAUCCCAUCGUUGUUGUGAUUAUGCUGCUGUUCUAUUACCCGUCUACUUCUUUCUAGCAUUUGAGUUUCCAUUAUCUUCGUCGUUGGUUGUAAAUUAUAAUCCUUCCAUUGUUAGUCCUACAUGUAUGUUCUUUCCAUUGUUAAUUUUGUGUUACAUCUUGUAUAGGUUUCUAUGUUUAGUAGGUGUCUUGACCUGGCCUCGACACUACUCCACCGAGGUUAUGCUUGAAACUUUUGGGUACCAUUGUGGUGUACUCAUGCUACGCUCCUGCACCAUUUUGUGUAGAUUCAUGUACUUUUGAUCGUGUUAUUGAGAGUUGUGUCUGCGCGGAUGAAGACUUCAAGGUACACCUGCUUGACGUUCGAAGGCCUCAGAGUCACCCUCAGUUAUCUUCGCAUUACUGUUUAUCCUUUUAUAAGACAAUGUUGUAUUAGAGGUUUUAGUACGUUUCUGUAGAGCUUACGACUCACUUUCACCGUGUUUUGGGAAUGUUAACUAGGUAUCAUAUUUUUAGUCGUUAUUUCUAUAAUAUUUCCUUGUUGAUUAGGCUUACCUAGACUUAGAGGCUAGGUGCCAUCACGGCAUCUUAUGGUGAGAAAAAUGGGAUCGUGACAUGGACCCCGAGAUAUACUUGUGCCAGUGAGGGGCGCCUCAACCACAAAACCAGGCUCACACCAAAAUACCCUUGAACUUUGACCAUUACUCUUCCUCAAAGGUUUGAGCUCAAACAAAUGUUAAUUCACCAACUCAACCAACAUAUAACAUGAAAGGUAGAAGGUUCAUCAAAUAACCUUUCAAAGGUUCAGCAAUUCAAAAACACCAACUUGAAAUCAAACAACCUUGUUAAGAAUUGAAGCCAUCAUUAGAGUGCCAAACCAUAAGAAACUAAGGACUUAACACAAUAUGGACCUUGAAUAUAAGAAUAGGUCAUUGUAACUGGAUCAUUAAAGGUUUGAUGGUAACAAAAGGCCUUGAUAGGUCACAAAGCAAAGAAGGUUGGUUGUAUGCUGACAGUACAUAGGUUCUAUUUCUUACAACUUCAAGUUUAAGAAUGCCUUAUUGAGUAGUCUAAAGUAUAAGUAAGUGACAAUGAUGGGCAUAUGCACUUGUUUUAUUAUUUUCAAUAAAGGUGCAACACUUUAGAACCUUCUUAAAUACGUUCAGAUCACUAGAGCAAGUAACAGACAUCUUAACAAUUUUUGGAACAGUUGUGAGCAAAUAUGCAUAUAAUAACCUCUCUUCAUUAAACACUUAUGCUAAUGACCUCACUCAGAAUUCAAAGGGGGUAUACGAAUCAGCUGGGAUAACAUGGAUAUUAACAUGACUAGGAAGGCUAGCUUUAGUCUUUAUUUAAACCUAAUGGCCGUGGUAUUUAGUCAUGACAAUGCACACAGUCUAUUAGGUUUCAAAUUACCAGAACCAAACAAUACUCAGAUUCAUUAGUGAGUACUCCCUAAUCAGUGUUGUCAAACAGUUAUGAAAUAAAAAGUAGAGAUGUUCUUUUUUAGUUGGUCAAAGCAGGGUAAGUAGAUCACAUCAAGUGACCAUUUAGACAUGUAAGCAAGUUUAUCAAUAAGUCAUGACAACAAAUCUCCCCACAAGAUUUUAUUUUAUACAAGUUGUCAUGAUAGACACACAUGAAUCAUUUUAUCAUAACUGUGCAAUACAUCACAUUAUCAUAAACAAGAUGUCAGUUAGAGUCAUUUAGGUAAACAAAUAAACAUUAGAAUAUGAGCAUAAUCAUCAAUAAGAACCAGUCAAUAGACUAGACCAAAAUAUCAUGACAUUAAAGGUUGAGACAAACAUAAUGAUGCAUGCAUAAGGGUCUUAGCUAGUUAACAUAAUGAUUUAAGCAUGAAAUUUUCUUAACUAAUGGCAUGUAAAACUUUACGAACAUUACUUGAUUAGAAAAAAUCAUGAUAAAUAUAGGCACAAACAUAAAAAUCAAUAAGUGCCAUUCAAUAAAUACAACAGUGUAGGUUGCACAUAACUACUAUCAUAGAAUUCAGACAGUCACGAGGAAUUAAUAGAUUGUUUAUAAAGACAACAAUAAGGCGUCAUUUCAGUUAUUUAAGCAUGAUCAAACGAUUCAACGAUCAUCAUGAAAUAUUUAUUUGACAACAACACAUGGAUAAACACAAUCUUCAGCAAACAUCAUUAAUAUAAACAAGAGUAACACAAGAGCAUAAUACAAUAAGAAGGUUGCAUGUGUACAGAUGAACACCAUGAAGAGGAGAAUAUCAAAUAAUAACAGAAAAAUAUCAGAACAAAGAGCUACAUAAUUAAUUGAAAGAAUGAAAGAGAGGAGUCAGUGUUCACUGACCUUCUUCAGAGAAGCAAACCCAAUAAGGAUGAUUUGUAGCCAUUUAAGAAUCCAACCUCACAACCAACUUACAAUAAUCAAACUCGAACAAGAAGAAAAGUGAAAGAGAUUAGAGAAGAACUUCGGAAUACUUAGAUCAACAGAAAAUUCUUAAGUCUUAGUGUGUGUUAUGUGUUCUUUCAAUGCCUUUUUCGUGAUUUUUCAGUGUUUGGUGAGAGCAUUAAAAGCUCUAGUUAUAGUAGUAUUGAAGCCUUAGGGCUUCAUUUGAAUUCAAAGGGAUAGUGGGGGAUGACGAGUGAUGAGUGACUGAUGAUGAUAUCAAAAGGGGGGAAAACAGAAGGAGAACAAAUCGGAAAUCAGGAUGGAGCU